rnacentral:misc_RNA from 1 species
GUGGAAACCUUCAAACACUCAUACUCAAUAACAAUUUCAUCUCAGGGACACUUCCACAGUCCAUUUCCAAAUGUACCAACUUGGUUUGGGUUUCAUUGUCCAGCAAUCGACUGUCUGGAGAGAUACCACAAGGAAUUGGGAAUCUUGCAAAUCUUGCUAUCCUUCAGUUAGGUAAUAACUCACUUACUGGACCAAUCCCUCGAGGAUUAGGUUCUUGCAGGAACUUG